AUCCAGGGGAAAACACUUCCGCCGCACGAGCUAGGUUACGGAAACCAGUGUUCGGGAAGGCUUCUGCUAUAUU
rnacentral:pre_miRNA from 1 species